rnacentral:rRNA from 1 species
UCCGUAGGCGGGCGACUAAGUCAGAGGUGAAAUCCCACAGCUUAACUGUGGAACUGCCUUUGAUACUGGUUGUCUUGAGUUAUAGUGAAGUAGAUAGAAUAUGUAGUGUAGCGGUGAAAUGCUUAGAUAUUACAUAGAAUACCGAUUGCGGAGGCAGUCUACUAACUAACAACUGACGCUAAUGGACGAAAGCGUGGGGAGCGAACAGGAUUAGAUACCCUGGUAGUCC